rnacentral:rRNA from 1 species
UACGUAGGGUGCGAGCGUUGUCCGGAAUUACUGGGCGUAAAGAGCUCGUAGGUGGUUUGUCGCGUUGUUCGUGAAAACUCACAACUCAAUUGUGGGCGUGCGGGCGAUACGGGCAGACUGGAGUACUGCAGGGGAGACUGGAAUUCCUGGUGUAGCGGUGGAAUGCGCAGAUAUCAGGAGGAACACCGGUGGCGAAGGCGGUUCUCUGGGCCUGACCUGACGCUGAGGAGCGAAAGCGUGGGGAGCGAACAGG